CCCUUUUUGGAAUGUGUGUUCCAGAUGUUUCCCUUUCUUCCCCAAAGAAGAAGUUUUCAUUAAAAAUCGAACUGUUUAUUUGGCACUUUGGGGCAGCCCUUUUUUGAGGAAACCGCAGCAAUGGGUGGCUUUGGAACCCGAGUUCGAAGAAACCAGUGCAUUCUCCUGGUGCUCUUUCUUUUGCAAAUUCAGAGUCUGGGUCUGGACCUGGACAGUCGUCCUACGACUGAAGUCUGUGCCACACACACCAUUUCACCAGGACCCAAAGUCCAAGGGACUCAAGAGUCUUCUCCAAGACCACAAUUUGAAAGCAUCAGUUCUUCAGUGCUCAGACUUAAUUUUGGAAAAAGGAUACAAUUCAGCCCAUAACAGACUAUGAAACUCCUGUUCUAUCCAUUGCAUCAAGCUUCUGGAGUAAACCUGAAUGAUGGUCGCAUCACUACAUUCAACUUGAACAGACUUAUGGUUCUUAAGACUGAGCCCCUUGAAAAUUUCACCUUGAUCAAAAGCUGUUACCUUUCAUGUAAGAUUCUCCCUGGGACAGCUUUUCUCCUCGAAGGCAUGCAGUUUCCUGAACAUGGUUCUUUUGUAACCAUAUUCCUCCUCUGGACAGGAGAUGAUGGUGAAAAAGGAGAUCCAGGAGAGGAGGGGAAGCUUGGCAAAGUGGGACGCAUGGGACCAAAAGGAGUUAAGGGAGAAUUGGGUGAUGCAGGAGAUCAAGGCAAUAUUGGCAAGACUGGGCCCAUUGGGAAGAAGGGUGACAAAGGGGAAAAGGGUUUGCCUGGAAUACCUGGGGGAAAAGGCAAAGCAGGUACUGUUUGUGAUUGUGGAAGAUACCGAAAAGUUGUUGGACAACUAGACAUCAGUGUGGCCCGCCUUAAGACUUCAAUGAAGUUUGUUAAGAAUGUCAUAGCAGGGAUUAGGGAAACCGAAGAGAAAUUCUACUACCUCGUGCAGGAGGAGAAGAGCUACAGGGAAUCCCUGACCCACUGCCGCGCCCGGGGGGGAAUGCUGGCCAUGCCCAAGGACGAAGCUGCCAACACGCUGCUGGCUGACUACGUCUCCAAGAGUGGCUUCUUCCGGGUGUUCAUCGGGGUGAACGACCUUGAGAGGGAGGGUCAGUAUGUGUUCACAGAUAACACUCCCCUGCAGAACUACAGCAACUGGAAGGAGGGUGAGCCCAGCGACCCCUAUGGCCACGAGGACUGUGUGGAGAUGCUGAGCUCAGGGAGAUGGAAUGACACCGAGUGCCAUCUUACCAUGUACUUUGUCUGUGAAUUCAUCAAGAAGAAAAAGUAACUUCCCUCUCCCUACACAUUCAUCAUUUCCCUGUGACUAUCGCCGCUGUUAUUUUUAUCCAUCCUUUUCUAAUUACACUAAAUUCACUCUGACUCCAGGCAAGUGAGAAAUGCUAGACUAAAUUUUGGAAUCUUCAUCACCAUGCUUAUCCACGAUGAUUUUGAUCAUUUUCAUAAAUG
rnacentral:lncRNA from 1 species